UGGGGAAUAUUGCACAAUGGGCGAAAGCCUGAUGCAGCAACGCCGCGUGAGCGAUGAAGGCUUUCGGGUCGUAAAGCUCUGUCCUCAAGGAAGAUAAUGAAGGUACUUGAGGAGGAAGCCCCGGCUAACUACGUGCCAGCAGCCGCGGUGAUAAGUAGGGGGCUAGCGUUAUCCGGAAUUACUGGGCGUAAAGGGUGCGUAGGUGGUUUCUUAAGUCAGAGGUGAAAGACUACGGCUCAACCGUAGUAUGCCUUUGAAACUGGGAAACUUGAGUGCAGGAGAUGAGGAUGGAAUUCCUGGUGUAGCGGUGAAAUGCGUAGAUAUUAACAGGAACACCAGUUGCGAGGGCGGCUCUCGGGACUUUAACUGACGCUAAGGCGCGAAAGCGUGGGGAGCAAACA
rnacentral:rRNA from 1 species